GGCGAACGCUGGCGGCGUGCCUAAUACAUGCAAGUUGAGCGCUGAAGACUGGUACUUGUACCGGUUGGAUGAGCGGCGAACGGGUGAGUACCGCGUGGGUAACCUGCCCUAUAGAGGGGGAUAACUAGAGGAAACUUUAGCUACUACCGCAUAAAAUCUAAUAACACAUGAUAUAAGAUUGAAAUUGCCAAUUGGUACACUAUAGGAUGGACCCGCGUUGUAUUAGCUAGUUGGUGAGGUAAUAGCUCACCAAGGCGAUGAUACAUAGCCGACCUGAGAGGGUGAUAGGCCACACUGGGACUGAGACACGGCCCAGACUCCUACGGGAGGCAGCAGUAGGGAAUCUUCGGCAAUGGACGAAAGUCUGACCGAGCAACGCCGCGUGAGUGAAGAAGGUUUUCGGAUCGUAAAACUCUGUUGUAAGAGAAGAACACCAGUAAGAGUGGAAAGCUUACUGGCUGACGGUAUCUUACCAGAAAGCCACGGCUAACUACGUGCCAGCCGCCGCGGUAACAC
rnacentral:rRNA from 1 species